rnacentral:rRNA from 1 species
AUUAAAGAGUUCUAUAACUCCCAAACCCAUGUGAACAUACCUAACGUUGCCUCGGCAGGUCGCACCUACCUUGUAGCACCCUACCCUGUAGGGCCUACCCGGGAGGUGCGGGUAAGCCUGCCGGCGGCCCACCAAACUCUGUUUGAUAUUGAAUUCUGAACCUAUAACUAAAUAAGUUAAAACUUUCAACAACGGAUCUCUUGGUUCUGGCAUCGAUGAAGAACGCAGCGAAAUGCGAUAAGUAAUGUGAAUUGCAGAAUUCAGUGAAUCAUCGAAUCUUUGAACGCAUAUUGCGCCCAUUAGUAUUCUAGUGGGCAGGACCGUUCGAGCGUCAUUUCAACCCUUAAGCCUUCGUUGCUUAGUGUUGGGAGCCUACGGCAACGUAGCUCCUCAAAGUUAGUGGCGGAGUUGGUUCACACUCUAGACGUAGUAAUUUUUUAUCUCGCCUAUUAGUUGGACUAAUCCCCUGCCGUAAAACCCCUAAUUUAUCAAGGUUGACCUCGAAUCGGUUCAGACAAACUCGCUAAAUUGAAGCAUCUUAGUCAGCGAAGGAAAAGAAACCAACAGGGAUUGCCCUAGUAACGGCGAGUGAAGCGGCAACAGCUCAAAUUUGAAAUCUGGCCCU